AAGAAAAGUUUCAUACGCAUCGAGUGGGUUGCUACGAUAUUGUAUGUGUCAAGGCUGCGCUGUCGAACAUUGUUUUUGGUGCCUGUUUCCCAAUUAGUGCGUGUGUGAAGGGAUUAAGGAGAAAAACUAACUAAAAUGUCUUUGUCGAAAGGCGGUUUAUGAAAGAGCUGGGUCAGGGUUACUGGCAUCUAACAUGGGCUGGAGGAUACGCCGUCGAGCGUUGAUGAACCUGAAAUUGAGGCAAAGGACAAGGCUGAUGCUGGGACGUUUUGUGACCGAGAUGUGGUGUCAGCAUAUUGGAAAGAAAGCAGAUUUGAAACCUGCACUGGGUGCCACAAUCCCUGAAGAGUUGACGGAGUUGGACACGGACGUCAUGGACGGAGAGGAGGUCUGAAUUAGUUCCUUUGGGGGGGGGAUCACAGACAAAAACACGGCAGAUCUUCAUAGGCUGUAUCUAACAGGCACGUGAUGUAGCGGUUGCAGAAAUCCUUACAGAGUUCGUUGACUUUCUCCAGCUCGAGCAGGUGGAUCCGCAACACUUGAAUGGCUUUGACCAUCUGAGGGUUCGAGAGGCAAAAUUUCAGUCACGAUUCAGCACAGCAAGCGACCUCACACAGACAGAAGCGUGGUUGUAGCGUAAGCCUGGGACUCCGAUUCCAUCCGUUCUAUCAAUCAUCGACAUUAUCAUCCAUCGGCGGUGAGUACCAGUACUUUUUAUACUUUAUGUGUUGUGUGAGGCUGGAUUAACUUAGCUUUCACACUAAUAUACUGUACAUGCACAACUCUUCAACCCGCAAGGCAUGCCGGGUAACCUCACAGUAGCUACUCUUGUCCCUUUUUCUAGUUUAGCAUGACAUCUCCAUUAUUAUUUGAGUAUAAGUCAAUGAUGGAAAUGCUAUAUAUAUGAAGGUGUUUCAUUGACUUGACCACAUUCAUUACUGUCAAUGCAUAAAUCAAAUUGGAAUGAAAAGGAACGUUGUAUUGUAAACGUGUGCACUUUUGAACCUUCUACCUUCAAGACAAAAACAAAACCUCAACAACUGAAAUGACCUUUGCACAGAAGUAAGGAUUAAGGUAGAUGGGGUAUGAAAAGGCAUGCAUUUUCAUUAGCGGGAAUAGAACGGCACUGUGCGCAUCGCUGCCUGGUCGUCAUCAUGUAAUGUGUGUUUUCCAGUCGCCUACAAUAUCUUUUCCAACCAU